UGACGUCAAGUCAGCAUGGCCUUUAUAUCCUGGGCUACACACACGCUACAAUGGGAAGGGACAAUAGGUUGCGAAACCGCGAGGUGGAGCCAAUCCAGCAAAACUUCCCUACAGUUCAGAUUGCAGGCUGCAACUCGCCUGCAUGAAGUUGGAGUUGCUAGUAAACGCAGGUCAGCCAUACUGCGUUGAAUACGUUCCCGGGGGCUU
rnacentral:rRNA from 1 species